GAUGAAGAACGUAGCGAAAUGCGAUAAGUAAUGCGAAUUGCAGAAUUUCCGUGAAUCAUCGAAUCUUUGAACGCACAUUGCGCCCGCCAGUAUUCUGGCGGGCAUGCCUGUUCGAGCGUCAUUUCAACCAUCAAGCCCCAGGCUUGUGUUGGAGCCCUGCGGCUGCCGCAGCCUCCCAAAACCAGUGGCGGGCUCGCUAUCACACCGAGUGCAGUAGUUUACUCUUCGCUCAGGGCGUGUGGCGGGUGCUAGCCGUAAAACCCCCAACUUCUCAAGGUUGACCUCGGAUCAGGUAGGAAUACCCGCUGAACUUAAGCAUAUAAUAAGCGGAGGA
rnacentral:misc_RNA from 1 species